ACGGACAAGCCACCUCCUCAAGGAACCGGGAGGCAGAAGCAGCAUCAGUGAAGCCUAGUGGUUAGGACUGUGUGGAGAACAGUGUUACCACGCUGUCCACACCUCUCCAAAGAGUGUCCCUGAUGAGCGCUUUGAUUUGAAGCCAGGGCAUCACAGCCUUGUGCCCUUGGUGGGAGACCCUUUCCGCUUCUCCUCCUGGUCCUGUUUCCUGCUGCCCUGUCAUCCAUCGAUGCCCUUUUGACCCUUUGGACCUGUCUGGUUGGUGGUCAUGGCGUAUGGAAGCACUCCAAAGCUUAGCUGUCGCCUAAAGUGACAGAGCAGCGUACCACGCUAUCUCAGCAGCCAGAGGACCUGAAUCCAAAUCCCCAGCAUCCACGUUUAAAAUCAGGUGUGGUCAUGUGUGCCCGCAGUCCAGCGUGAAGGGGUGGACACAGGCUGACCCUGAGAGCUUUCUGGCCAAUCAGCCCUGCCAAACAGCAAGCUUCCGGUUCGGUGACAGACUCCAUUUCAAGCCUGCCGCCACCAGGAGUGCUGACUCCUUGGCCUGUGACUGCCAGUGAUGCUGGGCGUAACAGUCCCUGGUCUCUGUGCUGCUCCUGGGACAGACUCAUGCCAGGGAGGACUGAGAGGAAGGACGGUGCCGAGCCAGUCUGCAGGGGCUGCUGUGGGCAGGAGGGUCCACUGAGAGCCAGUCAGCCAAGAGAAAAGUGAGGCGACCAGCAGCUGUCUCCGUCCACUGCCCCACCCCGGAGCUCAGUGUGCUGCCCUCCUCUGUCACCUGGAAACAAGGCCUCCUGCACUGGCCGUGGCAUCCUCGUGCCCUGAUAGGACUCCCAGGACAAACCCACCCGGCCCUCUUCAGUGCCCCUCGGAGCCUUCCCAGGUACAAGCCUUUGUUGGUGGUAGACGGCGUGGAUGG